CAAAAGACAUAUAAUGCGUUGGGUCCAGCCUCUCAAAGUAUCAAUGCUGGGAGGAUUCCCAGAAGCUGCCGCAUAUUCCAAAGUUUCAAACAUUUUAGUCACAGGACCAGAAAUGUCCAUUAAUUUAUCUUGACAAGAUUUCAGUGACCUGUCAAGGCCUUUAUUAGGGUUCUUCCCUGAUUUUGAUAAAAAUUGUACAAUAGUAGGAUCUAGAUCAGGGGUCUGUGCGACUUUCUUUGAUAAGGUCGGUCUAGGGCAUUCAGCCCUUAGUUUAUUUCUAGUCGCUUUGUCAAGGGGUUUCCUUAACCAGUAUUCAAGAUAUUUGGCUACAUGAGCCAUAGGGACCCAUUCGGCUGACCUGGGGUGUUUAAUAUGGUCUGGGUCAAAUAAUGGUUUACCAUUAAAAUCCAAAAUAAUGUUUUCAUUGUCAGAUUUAGAAAUAAGCUCAGGUGUCUCUGAGAUAUAUGAACAAAUUGAGGCAGAAUCAGAGUCAGAUUUUUCAUCCUCUGAGAUUGAAGAUGAUUCACUAUCUGAGGAGGUUUUAUAGGAAUCAGGU